ensembl:snoRNA
GACCUCCCUGGAUCGCGUCUGCAGACUGACUGGUGCUCUGCCAGGUUCGGCAGCAGGAGAAAGAGUGAGGCCGCAGAGCCACCUGUUCCAGUCCCAGCUCGCCUGGUGGCCGGCGACUGGAAGAGCUCUGCCACAGCA